AUGCAGUGCCGCGCGCACGGGUUGUGGGAAGCGGAGCGCGUGAAGAGUCUUACCACGGUAAAAACCGCCCCACCUGCCGGCGCACCAUUUUGGGCCUGGCCCAACAACGUGUCGCGCUUAUGUAUGGCCCAGGCCCGGGGGCUCCUGUCGGUGUACAACAAUAGGGACACGCUUUUGUACCCCUUUACCUGUGCACGGGCAGUCGGAGCCGCGCCCACACCAAGCACAACAGGGGAGGUGAGCCAAGGUAAGACCGAAGCCCAAGACAAUCAAAGCAACGCCAAGGCCAAGGCCACAAAGAGCAGAGGGACGAAGCAAGUUCCCCCGGCAAGACCCUUGCCGGGCGGCCUCAGCGGCCCCGGCAAGGCCCUUGUCGGGACAGCUCGCCCCACACCAACAAAGCGAGCCACCCUUGAGCCCACGGCCCCCAGCGCCAUCAUCAAUGUGGGGCCAGGGCUCGGGAAGGCACCUCUGUGGUGGCAUGGAGAUCUUUGUGAAGACAUUCAAGAUCAGAUGAGGAUUAGAAGACGACGAUUCUCGGCAAGAUCCCUGCCGAGGAAGGCCACCAGACCCCCGGCAAUGUCCUUGCCGGGGACGACGGCACGCCAUGGCAAGACCCUUGCCGGGCCACCCGGUAAGGCCCUCGCCAAGGACGUCAGCGGGGCCACUGCCAAACCCGCGCCGGACAAGCUUCCACCACCGUUCACAUGUAGCUGCCAUCGCAACCAGCUGGGCGGGCACCUGCGUGGCAACAUGCAACUCCCAGGCCAACUCAUCGAGCGCCUGCGUGGCGGCAUGCAGAUCUUCGCGAAGGCUCCGCCAUCACUCCACCUCAGCUGCCUGGCUGCCUACAUGGCACCACGCACCUCACUGGCCAGGGCGCGUGUCAAGGCGAGGAGGAGCAGCGACGGACGGGACGGGCCUCGCCCCCGUCCCCAAUAA
rnacentral:rRNA from 1 species